GACAGAGGGUGCAAACGUUGUUCGGAAUUACUGGGCGUAAAGCGCGUGUAGGCGGGUGAUCAAGUCAGAUGUGAAAUCCCCAGGCUCAACCUGGGAACUGCAUUUGAAACUGGUCGCCUUGAGUGUUGGAGAGGGAAGCGGAAUUCCUGGUGUAGAGGUGAAAUUCGUAGAUAUCAGGAGGAACACCGGUGGCGAAGGCGGCUUCCUGGACAAUUACUGACGCUGAGACGCGAAAGCGUGGGGAGCAAACAGG
rnacentral:rRNA from 1 species